rnacentral:rRNA from 1 species
AUACCGUCAAUGUGUAGAUAUCGGGAAGAACACCGAUGGCGAAGGCAGGUCUCUGGGCCGUCACUGACGCUGAGGAGCGAAAGCGUGGGGAGCGAACAGGAUUAGAUACCCUGGUAGUCCACGCCGUAAACGGUGGACGCUGGAUGUGGGGCACGUUCCACGUGUUCCGUGUCGGAGCUAACGCGUUAAGCGUCCCGCCUGGGGAGUACGGCCGCAAGGCUAAAACUCAAAGAAAUUGACGGGGGCCCGCACAAGCGGCGGAGCAUGCGGAUUAAUUCGAUGCAACGCGAAGAACCUUACCUGGGCUUGACAUGUUCCCGACGACGCCAGAGAUGGCGUUUCCCUUCGGGGCGGGUUCACAGGUGGUGCAUGGUCGUCGUCAGCUCGUGUCGUGAGAUGUUGGGUUAAGUCCCGCAACGAGCGCAACCCUCGCCCCGUGUUGCCAGCACGUUAUGGUGGGAACUCACGGGGGACCGCCGGGGUUAACUCGGAGGAAGGUGGGGAUGACGUCAGAUCAUCAUGCCCCUUACGUCCAGGGCUUCACGCAUGCUACAAUGGCCGGUACAGCGGGAUGCGACAUGGCGACAUGGAGCGGAUCCCUGAAAACCGGUCUCAGUUCGGAUCGGAGCCUGCAACCCGGCUCCGUGAAGGCGGAGUCGCUAGUAAUCGCGGAUCAGCAACGCCGCGGUGAAUGCGUUCCCGGGCCUUGUACACACCGCCCGUCAAGUCAUGAAAGUGGGCAGCACCCGAAGCCGGUGGCCUAACCCCUUGUGGGAUGGAGCCGUCUAAGGUGAGGCUCGUGAUUGGGACUAAGUCGUAACAAGGUAGCCGUACCGGAAGGUGCGGCUG